UAACUGGAGAGUUUGAUCCUGGCUCAGAACGAACGCUGGCGGCGUGCCUAACACAUGCAAGUCGAACGAGAAUCCGGGCUUCGGUCCGGUAGU
rnacentral:rRNA from 1 species